GAGAGAGUUAAGCCCAUACCUAAAAAAUUGCUAGUUUUUUAGGCCCGCAGUUGAAGUCCGCGGCUCACUCG
rnacentral:tRNA from 1 species